rnacentral:miRNA from 1 species
UGCCUGCUGUGCUGAUAAUCAGU